rnacentral:rRNA from 1 species
GGGCCCGCACAAGCGGAGGAACAUGUGGUUUAAUUCGAUGAUACGCGAGGAACCUUACCCGGGCUUGAAUUGCAGAGGAAGGAUUUGGAGACAAUGACGCCCUUCGGGGUCUCUGUGAAGGUGCUGCAUGGUUGUCGUCAGCUCGUGCCGUGAGGUGUCGGCUUAAGUGCCAUAACGAGCGCAACCCCUCUCUUCAGUUGCCAUCAGGUAGAGCUGGGCACUCUGGAGACACUGCCACCGUAAGGUGUGAGGAAGGUGGGGAUGACGUCAAAUCAGCACGGCCCUUACGUCCGGGGCUACACACGUGUUACAAUGGGGGGUACAGAAAGUCGGUUUUACGCAAGUGAGACCAAAUCCUCAAAGCCCUCCUCAGUUCGGACUGGGGUCUGCAACCCGACCCCACGAAGCUGGAUUCGCUAGUAAUCGCGCAUCAGCCAUGGCGCGGUGAAUACGUUCCCGGGCCUU